GAUGAACGCUGGCGGCGUGCCUAAUACAUGCAAGUAGAACGCUGAAGGAGGAGCUUGCUCUUCUGGAUGAGUUGCGAACGGGUGAGUAACGCGUAGGUAACCUGCCUGGUAGCGGGGGAUAACUAUUGGAAACGAUAGCUAAUACCGCAUGACAACAGUUAUUGCAUGAUAACUGUUUAAAAGGGGCAACUGCUCCACUACCAGAUGGACCUGCGUUGUAUUAGCUAGUUGGUGAGGUAACGGCUCACCAAGGCGACGAUACAUAGCCGACCUGAGAGGGGGAUCGGCCACACUGGGACUGAGACACGGCCCAGACUCCUACGGGAGGCAGCAGUAGGGAAUCUUCGGCAAUGGACGGAAGGCUGACCGAGCAACGCCGCGUGAGUGAAGAAGGUUUUCGGAUCGUAAAGCUCUGUUGUAAGAGAAGAACGAGUGUGAGAGUGGAAAGUUCACACUGUGACGGUAUCUUACCAGAAAGGGACGGCUAACUACGUG
rnacentral:rRNA from 1 species